rnacentral:snRNA from 1 species
AUCGCUUCUCGGCCUUUUGGCUAAGAUCAAGUGUAGAAAUUAAACUUAGACAUUAUAACAUUUUUAGUCUAUAAAGUCAUUCAUUUUCAACCUUUU